rnacentral:rRNA from 1 species
GACGAACGCUGGCGGCGUGCUUAACACAAGCAAGUCGAACGGAAAGGCCCUGCUUUUGUGGGGUGCUCGAGUGGCGAACGGGUGAGUAACACGUGAGUAACCUGCCCUUGACUUUGGGAUAACUUCAGGAAACUGGGGCUAAUACCGGAUAGGAGCUCCUGCUGCAUGGUGGGGGUUGGAAAGUUUCGGCGGUUGGGGAUGGACUCGCGGCUUAUCAGCUUGUUGGUGGGGUAGUGGCUUACCAAGGCUUUGACGGGUAGCCGGCCUGAGAGGGUGACCGGCCACAUUGGGACUGAGAUACGGCCCAGACUCCUACGGGAGGCAGCAGUGGGGAAUAUUGCACAAUGGGCGGAAGCCUGAUGCAGCAACGCCGCGUGCGGGAUGACGGCUUUCGGGUUGUAAACCGCUUUCGCCUGUGACGAAGCGUGAGUGACGGUAAUGGGUAAAGAAGCACCGGCUAACUACGUG